CUAUCUGCAGUCGAGCGAGACCGGAGCUUCGGCUCCGGGGACAGCGGCGAACGGGUGAGUAACACGUGGGUAACCUGCCCUCGGCACCGGGAUAGCCCGGGGAAACCCGGAUUAAUACCGGACGGCCCUUCCGCCCUUCUGGGCGGUCGGAAAAGGUAGCUUCGGCCUCCGGCCGAGGAUGGGCCCGCGGCGGAUUAGCUUGUUGGUGAGGUAACGGCUCACCAAGGCUCCGAUCCGUAGCUGGUCUGAGAGGACGAUCAGCCACACUGGGACUGAGACACGGCCCAGACUCCUACGGGAGGCAGCAGUAGGGAAUCUUGCGCAAUGGGCGAAAGCCUGACGCAGCGACGCCGCGUGCGGGAAGACGGCCUUCGGGUUGUAAACCGCUUUCAGGAGGGACGAAGCCACUCGGGUGAAUAGCCCAGAGGGUGACGGUACCUCCAGAAGAAGCCCCGGCUAACUACGUGCCAGCAGCCGCGGUAAUACGUAGGGGGCAAGCGUUGUCCGGAUUUAUUGGGCGUAAAGCGCGUGUAGGCGGCCAGGUAGGUCGGUUGUGAAAAUUGGAGGCUCAACUUCCAGACGUCGAUCGAAACCAUCUGGCUAGAGUCCGGAAGAGGAGAAUGGAAUUCCUGGUGUAGCGGUGAAAUGCGCAGAUAUCAGGAAGAACACCGAUGGCGAAGGCAGUUCUCUGGGACGGUACUGACGCUGAGACGCGAAAGCGUGGGGAGCGAACAGGAUUAGAUACCCUGGUAGUCCACGCCGUAAACGAUGGGUGCUAGGUGUGGGAGGUGUCGACUCCUCCCGUGCCGCAGCUAACGCAUUAAGCACCCCGCCUGGGGAGUACGGCCGC
rnacentral:rRNA from 1 species